rnacentral:ribozyme from 1 species
GAAAAAAAAAAAAAAAAAAAAAAAAAAAAAAAAAAAAAAAAAAAAAA